AUUGAACGCUGGCGGCAUGCCUUACACAUGCAAGUCGAACGGUAACGGGCCUUCGGGUGCCGACGAGUGGCGAACGGGUGAGUAAUGUAUCGGAACGUACCUUUCAGUGGGGGAUAACGUCGCGAAAGUUACGCUAAUACCGCAUAUUCCGUGAGCAGGUAAGCAGGGGAUCGCAAGACCUUGCGCUGCUUGAGCGUCCGAUAUCAGAUUAGCUAAUUGGUGAGGGAAAGGCUCACCAAGGCGACGAUCUGUAGCGGGUCUGAGAGGAUGAUCCGCCACACUGGGACUGAGACACGGCCCAGACUCCUACGGGAGGCAGCAGUGGGGAAUUUUGGACAAUGGGGGCAACCCUGAUCCAGACAUGCCGCGUGAGUGAAGAAGGCCUUCGGGUUGUAAAGCUCUUUCGGCCGGGAAGAAAUCGCACAGGCUAAUACCUUGUGUGGAUGACGGUACCGGAAUAGGAAGCACCGGCUAACUACGUGCCAGCCGCCGCCGUAACAC
rnacentral:rRNA from 1 species